rnacentral:rRNA from 1 species
GAUGAACGCUGGCGGCGUGCCUAAUACAUGCAAGUAGAACGCUGACGAGAGGAGCUUGCUCUUCUUGGAUGAGUUGCGAACGGGUGAGUAACGCGUAGGUAACCUGCCUUGUAGCGGGGGAUAACUAUUGGAAACGAUAGCUAAUACCGCAUAACAAUGGAUGACACAUGUCACUUAUUUGAAAGGGGCGAUUGCUCCACUACAAGAUGGACCUGCGUUGUAUUAGCUAGUAGGUGAGGUAAUGGCUAACCUAGGCGACGAUACAUAGCCGCCCUGAGAGGUGGACGGGCACCCCGGGACUGGAGACAGGGCCCAGACUCUUACGGGAGGAAGAGGAGGGGAACUUCGGCCAAGGGGGCAACCCCUGACGAAGAACGCCGGGUGGGGGGAGGAGGGUCUCGGAUCGGAAAGCUCUGUUUUUAGGCGAGGAAGGGGUUGAGAGUGAAAAGUGCACACUGUGACGGUAGCUGACCAGAAAGCAACGGCUAACUACGUG